rnacentral:rRNA from 1 species
UUGCGUAGGUGGUUUAAUAAGUGAAUAGUGAAAUCUGGUGGCUCAACCAUUCAGACCGUUAUUCAAACUGUUAAACUCGAGAACAGCAGAGGUAACUGGAAUUUCUUGUGUAGGAGUGAAAUCCGUAGAUAUAAGAAGGAACACCAAUGGCGUAGGCAGGUUACUGGGCUGUUUCUGACACUGAGGCACGAAAGCGUGGGGAGCGAACC